CAGCAGUGAUGCUGAUGUAUCUAGCCAUGAAGACAGUGACAAAUCAGUAACCGAGCUAAGAACUGAUGUUAGCCUACUUAGUCAAGUUUCUGAUCCAACGAACAAGGAAAACAAAAAGACCGACAAAACUAAGGGCAAGGAACCAAAGGGCUGUAAAGACAUAACUAAAGCCACACCCACAACCCAAGAUGAGUUGAAAUUGGUUUGCAUUUCGUUUCCACCGGAAAUGUUUAAAUUCAUUGGCAACGGAAGAACACCAGGAUCAUUCGUCAUUAAGUGCCAAAUUGGUGAUUGAAAAAGGCAUAACAAUACCUUAGGAGUGUAUUGGAACAGCAGAGGAAACAUCAUGAAGCACCUUAAAAGCAGACACAAAGAUAUUAUCCCCAAGUAUCAGGAUUUAUGCAAAGAACUGGAUCACAAGAAGAAGAUGGAAUCAGGACUAAGUUUUAACGUGUCACCACUUAAAGGUGAAACCGAGUCUUACUCAGGCAAGAAAACCUCCCAACAAAAAAUAUCGUUCGACAGCUAUCCUAGAGU